rnacentral:rRNA from 1 species
CCUACGGGGGGCAGCAGUAGGGAAUCUUCCACAAUGGACGAAAGUCUGAUGGAGCAACGCCGCGUGAGUGAAGAAGGGUUUCGGCUCGUAAAGCUCUGUUGGUAGAGAAGAAAGAUAGAGGUAGUAACUGACCUUCACCUGACGGUAACUACCCAGAAAGUCACGGCUAACUACGUGCCAGCAGCCGCGGUAAUACGUAGGUGGCAAGCGUUGUCCGGAUUUAUUGGGCGUAAAGCGAGUGCAGGCGGUUCAUUAAGUCUGAUGUGAAAGCCUUCGGCUCAACCGGAGAAUUGCAUCAGAAACUGGUAGACUUGAGUGCAGAAGAGGAGAGUGGAACUCCAGGUGUAGCGGUGGAAUGCGUAGAUAUAUGGAGGAACACCAGUGGCGAAGGCGGCUCUCUGGUCUGCAACUGACGCUGAGGCUCGAAAGCAUGGGUAGCGAACAGGAUUAGAUACCCGUGUAGUC